GACGAACGCGGGCGGCGUGCCUAAUACAUGCAAGUAGAACGCUGAAGGAGGAGCUUGCUCUUCUGGAUGAGUUGCGAACGGGUGAGUAACGCGUAGGUAACCUGCCUGGUAGCGGGGGAUAACUAUUGGAAACGAUAGCUAAUACCGCAUAACAGUAGAUGUUGCAUGACAUUUACUUAAAAGGUGCAAUUGCAUCACUACCAGAUGGACCUGCGUUGUAUUAGCUAGUUGGUGGGGUAACGGCUCACCAAGGCGACGAUACAUAGCCGACCUGAGAGGGUGAUCGGCCACACUGGGACUGAGACACGGCCCAGACUCCUACGGGAGGCAGCAGUAGGGAAUCUUCGGCAAUGGACGGAAGUCUGACCGAGCAACGCCGCGUGAGUGAAGAAGGUUUUCGGAUCGUAAAGCUCUGUUGUAAGAGAAGAACGAGUGUGAGAGUGGAAAGUUCACACUGUGACGGUAUCUUACCAGAAAGGGACGGCUAACUGCGUG
rnacentral:rRNA from 1 species